CACACCUUGAGUUGGUAGGCCAAGUAGUGUAGUCGCAUGAACGUGCCCACGAUGUCUCAGGUUUGCGUUCUGAUCUUGACUUCACGUGCGUGCGGAGUUAAUUGAGAAGCAUAGACCCAAGGGGAACUGCUUAAGCACCUGGUACUCUUCACUCUCCGAUGCCCGGGUCCAGACUUCUGCUCCCUGGGUCCGCCCUCGUGCUGCCAGGGCAUGCCUCUCCAUCCCUGCUCUCUCGAGGUCCAGUCCAGCCCGGCAAGCGUUGCCAUGGCAGCGCCACCGCCAGGGAUGUGGGAGGCAGAGCGCGCUCGCCCCUUUGUGCCUCUGGGGUGGAGGUGCACUCCCCCCACACCCGGCCGCGCUCCACCUCCCAGGCCCCGACCUCGGGCAGCUACAAAGACGACGACGCGCUCGGGGGACCAGAGGGAGGGAGGCUGCGGACGAGUGCGGGGAGGAGUUUGCGAUGGGAGGCGCUUGCAGGGGCUCCCCCAGUUCUGCACUGUGAGCCCGGGCACAAAGAGCCCUCUGCACUGGCGCCGCAGGACCGAGGACCAGGACCCGAGCUGGAGGUAUGUUCCCGCCUACCCAUGUCAUUCCAGACAUGUUCACCUGGCCGCCAUGACCCUAACGGCAUCAAAGGAGCAACCAAGAGUUCAGCAAGUUCCUGGGACAGAAGAGAAAGAAGGGAGUUUCUGGCAUCUUGGAGAUGCUCACCAUUGCACUGGAAAGGAGCCUUGCAGAUAAGUAUUCAAACUUACCAGCCCAUAGCCUACCAGCCUGCCCUCUGCUGGUCUGUGCAGGAAAGUACAAUAUCCCAGAAUUCUCAAGGGGAAGAGAAAUCCAUGCAGCAGCUCAUUCACUUUCCCACCUCUACGCCACAAACAAAGCUUGUCCCUGAUUUACGGGGCCCCCAGAAAUAAUUUUCCUACCCCUUUUGGCAUCAAGGAUGGGCCUCUGGGGUCUGCGUAGGGUAGGAGCCUGGGCUGCCAGCAUUUUGGCUGGGUGCUGUCAGCACAAGUAUGGACCACGUGACUUCUCCAGGAUGAUGCUGAGGAACCAGAGGUCAAGACGAGGUGUGGUCCCGCCCUCUCAGAUCUUCAUGCUUCUUGGCCCCGCAGCAUCUCCAGGACACCCAGUCUGGUCUUCUGGAGAGCCUGGGUGACCCUGGGCACAGUGACACAGGGAGCAGCCGCCGGUGGUUUUCUGGAUAAGACCUCACCUUUCCUGACUCCUGGGAUGGAGAAUCUCCUGGACAAAGGCCCCUCCUGGUUGGUGCCCAGCCAAAGACAGGACCCAGCUCUGGAGGACAGCUCAAGGGGUGGGAGGAGGGCUGGCAGCUGGCCGCCCCCUCUGCUUCUCUCUGGCCCCAUCUGCCAGGCCCUCCUCCCCAGGCCUGGAGGCCCCUCCUGACCCCCCGUGGACUUGGUUUCUCCUUGCAGCCCUGCCAGCCAUCAGGCAGAGCUCCGCCUGGGCCAGGACAGGGGCAGGAACGUGGGAUGGGAGUCGGGUAGGAGCUGCAAGUGGGAGGCAGGUCGAUGCAGCCCUGGGGUGCCGUUGGCUGGAGUCUGUCUUGCGCUGUGUGAGUGAUUCUCAUUUUUGUGGGGGAUUCUUGGAUGGGGCCUUUUGGUGCUUCUUUUCUACCUGACAGUCAAAGGGAGAAGGCAGGAUGGGCCUGGGGGUGGGGGGUGGCUGGACCUCUUGCUGGGGUGUGGAGCUCUGGGAGGGGCAGUGAUCCUGAAAGGAGAGCAGUUCUGAGAGAUGAGAGACCCUGCCUGGGGGAGGGUCUUGCAGAAGGAGCCAGACACUGGGCCUUGGUCCUGCCAUCCAAAGGGAAUGUUCUGGAAUUGGCCUCACCUCAAGGCUUGAGAGGUCACCCCAGCUCCAUCUCAGACCCCUGCUCCUUGUCACAAUCCUGUCCUUGGGGAGCAGAGACAGUUAGGGCGGGCUCCACACGCAGGCAGCUUCCCCUGUCACAGAGCUACACCCUCGCUUCCGUGCCCCAUCCCCAUUCUCGCCUCUUCCAGCCCCUCAAGGGUGGCCCGUCCCAGGACUUGCAGGACAACAGGCUUCCUCAGGCAAACUUAAGAGCCUGAUGUCCUUUUCCCAGGGUGGUGAGGGACCUGUAUUAGUCUGCCUGGGCUGCUGUAACAGAAUACUGUGAUUCAGUGGCUAGAACAGCAGAAAUGUAUUUUCUCAGGUUCUAGAGGCUGCAAGUCCCAGAUCAGGGUGCUAGAGAUGGUUUGUCCUGAGGCCUCUCUCCUUGGCUUGCAGAUAGAAACUUCUUGCUCUGUUCGCACAUGGCCUUUUCUCUGUGCAUACACAGGGUGAGAAGGCGAGAGAGAAAGAGAGGGAGAGAGAGAGAGAAAGAGAGGGAGAAAGCAAGGGUGAAGGAGAAAGCGAGGGUAAGAGAGAAAGGGAGAGAGAGAGAAAUAAGGGAGGGAGGAGGAGAAAUAGAUGACUGAAGUCUCUUCCAUUUCCUAUAAGGGCACCAGUCCUGUGGGGUUAGGGCCUCAUUCUUAUGACCUCAUUUAGCUGUAAUGACCUAUGUUAAAGCCUAUCUCCAAAUACAGUCACCUUAGGGGUUACAGCUUCAGCCUAUGAAUUUGAAGCCCGGUGGGGGGACACAGUUCAGCCCAUUGCAGGUGGUCAGAGCAGACAUGGAAAGCUGAAAGGCUCCCCUUCAGAACUCCCGCCCCCUAAUAGGGAGGGGAAGGAGGGGCAGAGGCAGGGGAAGGGCUCUGCUAGGCUGGCCCAGGAGUCUUGGGGAGACAGCAAAUGAACGGGCCCUCGCCCAGAGCAGCGAGGAGGAGCCCCAGGAGAGGGAUGCCUUGGGGAAGGGCAUGGGCUUUGGAGCCCGAGGGUGCGCCCUCUGCUGCACAGCCUUAGGCAAGUCGCCUCACCCCUGGGAGUCCGAUGUUCACUCUGAAACAGGAUUGCUCCCCUGGGGGGCACAGGGAGAAGUCAGUGAAAUCAUGCGCCUGGCUCUUAGUAGGUUUCAGUAAACACUCCCAUCUGUCGGGGAGUUCAGAUGUGGGCUUACCUCUUUUUGGUACUCUGGACUGUAAACUCAGCAUCUUCGGCCCAGAGGCGUUCCUAGCCUGUUUUUCCAUUUGUGUGUUCUUAAUAUUCCUCUCUAAGCAGAUCGAGCAAUCAGCUGCAUUGGCCUGGCCUCCACAGUAACUCCCAAUGCCUCCUUUAAUAUCUACUCCUCUCAUUGGAAGUAAGCGCCUGCUCUGAGCCCUUCCCCGAGCUGCUUACUUGAGGGGAAUGUAAAUGAAGACGUGCUUAUGACUCCAGCCUUCAGGGUUUCACAGCCAUUGGAAGAUGGGGCAGAAAGCAGUCUACUGAGGCACAGGUUCCCAGCGCUUGGGUGGGUGGGAGCAAGACCUCAGGGUAGGCUGGAAGGGCUUCCCAGCAAGGCUGAAUCAGUCAGGACCUUGGAGGAUGAGAAGGAUGUGGCUUAGUUGAGUUUCUAGGGGGACAGAGCACAGACUCCCAAAGUAGGUUCUAGGAGAUGUUAUUGCUCUUUUAAAAAAAUAAAAGUUCAAAUUCAGU
rnacentral:lncRNA from 9 species